rnacentral:rRNA from 1 species
GGGAAUCUUGGACAAUGGGCGCAAGCCUGAUCCAGCCAUGCCGCGUGAGUGACGAAGGCCUUAGGGUCGUAAAGCUCUUUCGCCAGGGAUGAUAAUGACAGUACCUGGUAAAGAAACCCCGGCUAACUCCGUUCCAGCAGCCGCGGUAAUACGGAGGGGGUUAGCGUUGUUCGGAAUUACUGGGCGUAAAGCGCGCGUAGGCGGACUGGAAAGUUGGGGGUGAAAUCCCGGGGCUCAACCUCGGAACUGCCUCCAAAACUCCCAGUCUAGAGUUCGAGAGAGGUGAGUGGAAUUCCGAGUGUAGAGGUGAAAUUCGUAGAUAUUCGGAGGAACACCAGUGGCGAAGGCGGCUCACUGGCUCGAUACUGACGCUGAGGUGCGAAAGUGUGGGGAGCAAACAGG